rnacentral:rRNA from 1 species
GACGAACGCUGGCGGCGCGCUUAACACAUGCAAGUCGAGCGAGAACCGAGGCUUCGGCCUCGGGGACAGCGGCGAACGGGUGAGUAACACGUGGACAACCUGCCCUCGGCACCGGGAUAGCCCGGGGAAACCCGGAUUAAUACCGGAUGGCCCUUCCGGCUCUCGAGCUGGUCGGAAAAGGUAGCUUCGGCCUCCGGCCGAGGAUGGGUCCGCGGCGGAUUAGCUUGUUGGUGGGGGAACGGUCCACCAAGGCUUCGAUCCGUAGCUGGUCUGAGAGGGCGAUCAGCCACACGGGGACUGAGACACGGCCCAGACUCCUACGGGAGGCAGCAGUGGGGAAUCUUGCGCAAUGGGCGAAAGCCUGACGCAGCGACGCCGCGUGAGGGAAGAAGGCCUUCGGGUUGUAAACCUCUUUCAGCAGGGACGAAGCUACUCGGGUGAACAGCCCAGAGGGUGACGGUACCUGUAGAGGAAGCCCCGGCUAACUACGUGCCAGCCGCCGCCGUAACAC